rnacentral:rRNA from 1 species
CGUAGGGUGCAAGCGUUAAUCGGAAUUACUGGGCGUAAAGCGUGCGCAGGCGGUGAUGUAAGACAGGUGUGAAAUCCCCGGGCUUAACCUGGGAACUGCAUUUGUGACUGCAUCGCUGGAGUGCGGCAGAGGGGGAUGGAAUUCCGCGUGUAGCAGUGAAAUGCGUAGAUAUGCGGAGGAACACCGAUGGCGAAGGCAAUCCCCUGGGCCUGCACUGACGCUCAUGCACGAAAGCGUGGGGAGCAAACAGGAUUAGAUACCCUGGUAGUCCACGCCCUAAACGAUGUCAACUGGUUGUUGGUCCUUCACUGGAUCAGUAGCGAAGCUAACGCGUGAAGUUGACCGCCUGGGGAGUACGGCCGCAAGGUUG